CCUAAGGUAGCGAAAUUCCUUGUCGGGUAAGUUCCGACCCGCACGAAAGGCGUAACGAUCUGGGCACUGUCUCAACGAGAGACUCGGUGAAAUUGAAUUGCCUGUGAAGAUGCAGGCUACCCGCGACAGGACGGAAAGACCCCAUGGAGCUUUACUGUAGCUUGAUAUUGAGUGCUUGUACUGCUUGUACAGGAUAGGUAGGAGCCAUAGAAGCCAGGACGCUAGUUUUGGCAGAGGCGUUGGUGGGAUACUACCCUUGCAUUAUGAUCACUCUAACCCGCACCACUGAUCGUGGUGGGAGACAGUGUCAGGUGGGCAGUUUGACUGGGGCGGUCGCCUCCCAAAAGAUAACGGAGGCGCCCAAAGGUUCGCUCAGAAUGGUUGGAAAUCAUUCGCAGAGUGUAAAGGCACAAGCGAGCUUGACUGCGAGACAGACAGGUCGAGCAGGGACGAAAGUCGGGCUUAGUGAUCCGGUGGUUCCGCAUGGAAGGGCCAUCGCUCAACGGAUAAAAGCUACCCUGGGGAUAACAGGCUUAUCUCCCCCAAGAGUCCACAUCGACGGGGAGGUUUGGCACCUCGAUGUCGGCUCAUCGCAUCCUGGGGCUGUAGUCGGUCCCAAGGGUUGGGCUGUUCGCCCAUUAAAGCGGUACGCGAGCUGGGUUCAGAACGUCGUGAGACAGUUCGGUCCCUAUCCGUCGCGGGCGUAGGAAAUUUGAGAGGACCUGUCCUUAGUACGAGAGGACCGGGAUGGACAUACCGCUGGUGUACCAGUUGUUCCGCCAGGAGCAUCGCUGGGUAGCUAUGUAUGGAUGAGAUAAACGCUGAAAGCAUCUAAGCGUGAAACUCGCCUCAAGAUGAGAUUUCCCAUUCCUUAUGGAAGUAAGACCCCUCAGAGAUGAUGAGGUAGAUAGGAUGGAAGUGGAAGUGCCGCGAGGCAUGGAGCGGACCAUUACUAAUCGGUCGAGGACUUAACCAA
rnacentral:rRNA from 1 species